rnacentral:lncRNA from 1 species
CAAGUUACUAAAUCUAUCUGAGACUCAAUUUCUUCUUCUGUAAGGUACAUAUCCACCUUAAAACGUUGCUGUGAGGAUCAGAUGAGCUAACAAGGAACGAGAAAGCACUUCGCUGUGCCCACUGAAAGUGGGCAGAGUGAAUAUAUGCAUGUGUUAGAGUGGGUGAAGAGCAGCCUUCAAGAGAGAGAGUUCCAGCUGCCCUCACUGUGCCCUCCCCCAGCUCUGUGCUGCACCAGGAUCUCCCAGAAGGCAGCCACACCGCUCUCACUGCCUUCUCGCAGCUGUUACCUCCAGCCCUGCAGAACAGGUUACAAUAUAUGAACUUUCAACUGAUCACACACAAUGCAUAUCUCAAGGGGGCUGUAAAUUCAUCUGCAGCCGACUAGAGGACACCUCAUAUGCUCUGGUGUUGAGACCAGGAGGGAUCUCUGACUGA